rnacentral:rRNA from 1 species
GACGAACGCUGGCGGCGUGCCUAAUACAUGCAAGUAGAACGCUGAAGAGAGGAGCUUGCUCUUCUUGGAUGAGUUGCGAACGGGUGAGUAACGCGUAGGUAACCUGCCUUGUAGCGGGGGAUAACUAUUGGAAACGAUAGCUAAUACCGCAUAACAAUGGAUGACACAUGUCAUUUAUUUGAAAGGGGCAAUUGCUCCACUACAAGAUGGACCUGCGUUGUAUUAGCUAGUAGGUGAGGUAAUGGCUCACCUAGGCGACGAUACAUAGCCGACCUGAGAGGGUGAUCGGCCACACUGGGACUGAGACACGGCCCAGACUCCUACGGGAGGCAGCAGUGGGGAAUCUUCGGCAAUGGGGGCAACCCUGACCGAGCAACGCCGCGUGAGUGAAGAAGGUUUUCGGAUCGUAAAGCUCUGUUGUAAGUCAAGAACGGGUGUGAGAGUGGAAAGUUCACACUGUGACGGUAGCUUACCAGAAAGGGACGGCUAACUACGUG